rnacentral:rRNA from 1 species
UACGAAGGGGGCUAGCGUUGCUCGGAAUGACUGGGCGUAAAGGGCGCGUAGGCGGCUUGCACAGUCAGGCGUGAAAUUCCUGGGCUCAACCUGGGGACUGCGCUUGAGACGUGUGGGCUUGAGUGGGGAAGAGGGUCGUGGAAUUCCCAGUGUAGAGGUGAAAUUCGUAGAUAUUGGGAAGAACACCGGUGGCGAAGGCGGCGACCUGGUCCUUGACUGACGCUGAGGCGCGAAAGCGUGGGGAGCAAUCAGG